CCUACGGGGGGCAGCAGUGGGGAAUAUUGGUCAAUGGGCGCAAGCCUGACCCAGCAACGCCGCGUGAAGGAAGAAGGCUUUCGGGUUGUAAACUUCUUUUCUCAGGGACGAAGCAAGUGACGGUACCUGAGGAAUAAGCCACGGCUAACUACGUGCCAGCAGCCGCGGGAAUACGUAGGUGGCAAGCGUUAUCCGGAUUUACUGGGUGUAAAGGGCGUGUAGGAGGGAAAGCAAGUCAGAUGUGAAAACCAUGGUCUCAACCUGUGGCCUGCAUUUGAAACUGUUUUUCUUGAGUACUGGAGAGGCAGACGGAAUUCCUAGUGUAGCGGUGAAAUGCGUAGAUAUUAGGAGGAACACCAGUGGCGAAGGCGGUCUGCUGGACAGCAACUGACGCUGAGGCGCGAAAGCGUGGGGAGCAAACAGGAUUAGAUACCCCUGUAGUC
rnacentral:rRNA from 1 species